UUCAAGUCAUUAGAAAAUAAAUUUUCUUUCUAUUUAGAGACAAUUGUUAACAGUGAUACAUGGUUUCUGUCAAGAUCCAUUUAGGAAUAAAGUCGAGCAAAAUGAAUUCUUUUAGAGAUCACAGCAAACAGGCUUUAAAUCCCUUCUCUAAUUCCUGUCCAUUCAAGUUCUUUCCGAUGAACAUAAUCUUGUUUACUCUUGGUUCGUCUGGGCCCCACAUCCGAUCAGGCGAGCCUUGGAAUAUGUCAUGAACACCCUGUCAGACAGCAAACCAUGAUCAACUGAGAACAGAUAAACUUGAUCAGGAAAUUAUUAUAAUAAUGCUGAACGAAUGGGUCAAUUCUCAUAACAGCCUUUCGAAAGAACUUUAUUGCUUACCUGAAAGACAAAUCGCUCAUCCAUACCCCGAACAGACAGAAGGCCUUUCAUCCGAUAUAUGUCUUCGCUACGUUCCAUCAACAAUGUUCCCAGCCACAUGUUAGCCUGAACAAUAAGGUAUCGCACGUCAACCUUGUACUGAGUUUCUGACGGUUUCAAGCUUAAAAAACAUUCAUAAUUGAGAAAAUGGGUCUUUUAAGGAACUACUGAGAAGAAAGAACUACUCAUGUCACUUAGAAAGAAAUGACAUGCAUCCGGAGACUUUAACCAUGUGAAACCAACCUUAUCAAGAUCUAAAUUCCCUUCACAAACUAUGCUGACAGAUGAGACACCACGAUCAUGUGUGUGAUCAUGUGAAUGGUGAUCAUGAUGAUGUUCUGCAUAUUAGCAACCAGAAGAACUAAUGUUAGUACAUAAUAUUGAUAAUGAUAUGAGAAGAAAAUUAGACUCUCAUUCCAGCCAAAGACUAGGACACUAAAAGAAAUGGGCAAUCUAUUCCAAAACAAGUCCUCCAUGCGUCAGUGAAGGAAUAAAUUCUAGUACGCAAGAAAUUGGAAAGUUCCCACUAAUAGAUUUAUGGAAAAUCACGUGCAUUAAUCUGAAGGGCACCAAGCGAUCACCAAGUAGCCUAGCACAACAAACAACAGAAUACACGCCAUUGCCCACAUGAAACAUAGAAUAUAUAAAGAAAACAAAAUACAGCAUACAAGAUGAGGCAUCUAUAACUAUUUUUAAAACUGUACCAUGCUCGGGGUCAUGUUCAUGAUGAUGAUGAUGAUGACCGUGAUUGUGAUCAUGAUCAUGGCGGUCAUGUGCAGCAUCAUCUUCCUUUGCAUCGACAGCACUCUCUAUCCUGGCAAGUACUAGGAAAUGUUAGACCACAACCUCAGAAUCAAAAAUAAAUCAGGAGAUGGACAACCAGAAAAAAUAGCUGCAAGUUACAAGCAUCUCAAGUUGACAAUAAAUUAACAAAGUACCCUAUCUUUUCAUUGGAUAUUUUAUGUCCCGUAUUUUGUUAAUUUUAAUUAGCAUGUGGAAUGUACCCUAUCAAGGUCAUCACUUACUAGCUAAUUGACUCUGAAUAUUUGACAGAAAAACAUCAACGUAAGCUUGUAGUCACACCAGAAGGCAAGAAAAAAUGUUCCCUCUGGCUAAAACUAAUCACCUGGAAAGAGUGUCUAUCUAAUUCAAGAGACAAUCCAAACUAAUUCACCUUUGGUCCUGAUGCCAGAAGAUGCCACAAAAAUAAAAUCAACAAAGCACUCAUUUAAUAACCUGUGACUACAUGUUAGUCUAGCAUGACCCUUGAAAAUCCCUUAAGGGCCCAUAUUUUGAAUUCCCUUCCAAAGUGUGAAGGCUGCAGCUAGGAUCUAUAUCAGUGCAGCCAACAAGCACCAAUUAGAAUUCUCUAUGAUGCAAAGAUAAACAUAAUGAGAAUGAGUCCUCAACAUUAACCAGUGACAAGCAUGGGUCACAAGCAAUAUGGGAAUUAUCAAGUAAAGAUCUUUGUCAAGCUUCCAAUUACAUGUUAAUUAAAAGAAAAGCCAAUGAAAGAAAAAAAUUAUAUUCACAAGAAACAUCCAAAUGUAACAACAGCUAUGCAACAAACAAUAUUAAACCGCCUAAAUGACUUAAUCCAGAUUCGGAGGCAAAUCAGAAACAUGCUCUUAUGUGAAGACGACUCCAAUGUAAACUCAGAAACAAGAGAAUCAAUGAGAAAAACUAACCUCUCUGGAUCAAAGCCUCCAAUUCCAAGAACAUAAUCCAAGUCAACUUUUCCAAACUCCAUUCGCUUCAUAUGAGCCAUCCUAUUUAUGUUCUCCAUUCACCCAAACCAGCUUCAACAGAAUAAUCAAAACGAACUAGAACAAUAAGAGAACUAUGAUGCAUUUUAGUCAAGGCAAGCAGAACUCAGACCUUUAUUCUCUCGACCAAUGAAGCAACUUGUGGCCCACCAACAAGAUCAGUCUGAUAAUAACAUGAAUAAGCAUAUUAGUUGGGCAAUAGAACAAAUCUGACACGUAAAAUAGAAUAUUCUAUCACACCCUAGAUGCCAGAGUAAAUAACACACAAAAUAAUUAUUGAUUGCAAUUAAAACCACAUCAGAAACAUAAGGAAGCUCUUCUCUUCUGAAAAGAAUCAGAAGCCCAAAUGUUUCAUUUCUAAGACAUCAAUCUGGGAGAAUUUAUCAAUGAACUUGGCCACAUGCGCAGAACAACCACAGGAUGCCUCUGGCAGCCACAGCUGGCCUCCUAUGGAAUGAGCAUUACAUGAAGAAACAAGUCCCUUGAUAUACCUUAUUUACUAUAAUACGGUCUGCAUAUGCAAUUUGCUCUACUGCCUCAUUGACAACUCCUUUUGGCUUAACCUCAUCCAAAUGAAAACCAGCAUGCUUAGCAUCAACCAAAGUGACAACACCAUCCAACUUCACUUCAUUAAAAAUCGCAUCCUCAGCAUAAAACGUCUGAAUGAUUGGUGCCGGAUUAGCCAAUCCCGAAAAAUAAAAUUUCAAAUUCACAAGAAGUCGAAACAACUCAAAACUCCCAACUGAUUCAGUUGACCCAAACAAAGUCUUAUCACAUAACUAUAGCAGAGCCUGUGUGUUAACAAAAAUCAUACCUGCAGUUUCAAUCACAAUAUGGUCGAAUUUCCCUUUCUUUUUACUGACUAAUUCUGAAAUCAUCCUCACAAGAUCACCUCUUACUGUGCAGCACAAACAACCAUUGUUAAGCAUAAUUAUGUCCUCAGCCCCAGUAGUUUUAGCAGCAACUAACGACCCAUCAAUGUCCACUUCACCAUACUGCAAUUUCAACAUAAAAGACCAUAACUUAUCCAUCAAUAAACGUAUCCCACUUAAGCAAAUCCUACCAACAAAUUCAAUAAUGUCAAAAACUCAAGUUCACACCUCGUUCUCAAUCACGGCUAUGCGCUUCCCGUGAUCUGCAGUCAAGAUAUGGUUGAGCAAUGUCGUCUGUUAGUCCCAUCCACCCACACAAGCUUUGUUAGCCUCCAAAAAUUUGAAAAAGAAAUACCAUAAAAUGAAAAAUUGAAAGACAAAUACAUUAUGGUGGGAAAAAUUGUACCUUUCCAGAACCCAAAAAGCCGGUGAUUAUGCUGGCGGGACUUCUGUUAUCGGGUGGAAUCUUUGUCAACAAGUCAGAGUCCUCGCUGGCAGAAGCAGAGACCGUGAACCGGCGGUAGGGUCUGGGGACUCUGAAGGCGAUGAAUUUGGAGUGAGAUGAGGACGCCGUCGUUUUGCAGGAUAAGUUUCGGGCUCUGGGUUUGAAGAGGACGGGGAGGACAGUUGUUCGGAUUUUAGCAAAUGGGUUUUGUGGGCGACUGGUGAAGGAGAGGAAGGUGGUGGCCAUUUCUGUUGCGAGUGAAGAAGCCAUUUUUGUUUUCACUGCGGCCCGUGUUUUGGAAUUGGAUAAUGGAGUUUUUCGCUGGGGGUUUUAGAUAUUUCAGAGAGUGAGGGACACGAAUCAAUUGAAUUGUAAUAUUUCGCCUGUUUAAUGUUCCAGAUUGUUCCGUCGUUUUAUGUGCCAUGUAUCUUCCAUUGAAGAGUUGAGGAUUUAAAAAAUAAUAAUAAUUUAUAAAUCUUUUACAUAUGAAUAAUGAGAAAUGAUCUGCUUUGCAAAAGCGUUACAUAACAUUAUUGAAGCAAUUCAAAAAUUAAAUAUUAUUUAUAAUGAGUCAUCACUAGAUCAAGUUCUACUCUGUGUAUGCAUGUACUUAAAUAUUAUUUACCCAAAUAUUAUAGAUAAAUUAUAAUAAAAUCUUUAUAAAUUCAUAGUAUUGGGAAGAAAUUUAUUAUUAUAUGGAAUAUAUUUAUAUUCUAAUGAUAGGCGUUUAAUCAAUUAAAAAAUUAAUUGAAUAUAAAUUAAUUCACUAAAUAAACACUAUAUUAAACAAAAAAUAUAUAUAUUUAAAAUUAUUGCAUUUGAGAAAUUAGACAUGAGAUCCAAUUGUAUUAAAUUAAAGAAAAAAUAACAACUGAGUUAUAUCUAAUUUAAUAAAAUGUUAUGAUUAUUAAAUCUGUAAUUUUAGGUGUAAUAAACAUAAUGACAAAAUGACUAAUGUUUUAACUGGACGGCAUGAAAUAGGUUUUUAAUUGACAGAAAAAAAUAAAAAAAAUAAUUUUGUUCUAAUCUUAUUCUUAUAUUUUUAUUGAUGGACCCUUUCGGCCUAAGCCUAACAGAUGUCAUCAGGCCAAUACUCAUCUCAAUUACCCAAUUUUGGUAUUUUUUAUAAAAUUAUAAAUACACAUAUAAAAUAUAUUUUUUCCUUUUUUAUUUAUAUAGUAAGUAGCUAGAUUGCAAAGUGCACAUUCUAAAAUUUUUGUCUCUAAAUUUGUCUUCCCAAGUCGGACAACCAGCAGUAAGUUCUCUAAAUAAAGGUUAGGAUGUUUUUGUAUUUUCUUUUAAGUUUUUUAUUUAUGAUUAAAUCGUAUGUAAAUUUAUUAUUAUUAUUUGCUUAAAUAACAUAAUGAGAUAGGAGAAAUCAGUUAUAUUUUUUAGAUGUGAAAAAAAGUUGAGUUUUUUUAUUUUUUUAUUUUUUGAUGUAGGGAUAAAUUGUUUUGCCCAAGCACAAGAAAAUAUUUUUUUCCCCCAUUUUAUGUUAUCGAAGUUGAAUGAUAUAAUAGCAUUUUUUAAAUAGUUUGAUUUAAUUCAUUAUUUUCAUGAAUUUAAAAUAAUGCCAGUAUUUGAGUAGAAUAAUAUUUUACAAAUUUCAUGAAAUAAAUUCUUUCAGAGAUCAAUUCUCUUUUCUUCAGAAAGGAGACGCAUUCUUGAUAAUUUUAAAACCCUAAAACAUGAUUAAUUUCAUAAACAAAAAAUGUUUUCUGUUAUAUUUAUUAUUAUCUCACGUCGAACUUAGGACAUGAGAUCCAAUAAAACUACUCUUUAAUACUAGAGCAUUUAAUGAUCCCUGUAGCUGUAGGAAAACAAUAAAUCAAUUUCCAUAAAUAAAUCUUGUAAGACUAUAAUAAUGAUGUUCUUCUGCUAGAAUCCCCAAGACUUGUGACAUAAGUACAUGGUAAUUGUAUUUAUUAGUUUCCUUGCUAAACUUGGGCUUCGUACUAUAUAUUUAGUUUAUAUAAUUAUUAAAUUUCAUAUUUGUUUGAUUUUCAUAAAUUAGAGAGGACGAAGCAGUAUGAUGAAGAGGCAGCAGCUAAUUUCGGAUUCAUCAAUUUGAAUGAUGUUUGAUGAGAUUAUUACGUGGACUUGGACUUGCAAUUGGAUUCGUUUGCGAGUGUUUGUCUCUUUUUUCGUUGUUGUGACCGGGCUGUUAGAGGUUUAUUUUGUACAACUCAUGCUAUCCCUUUUUAAGAAUUUUAAGGCAUGUUCAACAUUAUUUUUAGAGUGGUGUUUUCAUUUUUGUUUUGAGUGUACAUAUAUAAUAUAUAUUUGAUAGAUUAAAUUUAAAAAAUAAAUUAUAAAACAAAUAAUUCAAAUUUCACUUUAUAGUUAUAAAACUGAAAACAUAUUAAACACGUUCUCAAUGAAUCAUAAUCCAAAAUCCUGAAUAAGAGAGGAGUAAGCAUUCUGAUGACUGUUAUUUGUCAUCAGGAUCUUAGUGGUGUAUCGACUAUCAACUUCAACUUGUAGACAGCUCUAGAUUUACAAUUCAAUUGCCGAAAAAUUCAAUCACAUGUGGAGGAAAUUGAAAAGUGGGAUCAUACCAUGGACUUGGAAAUUUUGUACAUACCCUUGAUUUGGAGUUUUUGCGCAGCAAUAUGAAUUGAGAGCAUGAUGAUCACUUUGUUAACAUGCAUAAUGACUUGAUUCGUACCCUCAUAUUCGAGUCUUUCUUCCAGAAGUCUCAUAGAAGUUUAAUCUAAAUUGAAAAGAGAACAAUCUAGUAUAUAAUAAAAUGAAAUAUAAUUUUUUUCAUUAAACUUGUGAAAAUUUAUGAACUUAAUACUGCAUUAACACCACCAGCAACACCUACAGAAGGAGAAGAAGAAGAAGACAAUUCUGUGAUUGAAAUGGUGGCAUUAAGAUGGAGUUUUGGAGCAUCCUAUGUGAUUGUGAUUUUGGGUUUAUCUGCAGUCCUUUGGAGAAACUCACAUUGGCGCAGACUGUGGUUCUUUUUCAUUGAUAGAUGCAUUGACAUAUGCCACUAUUGUCUUUUCAAAUAUGUACUCUUAUCGGUGAUUGUGCUUAGGUGCUUUUCUGCAAAUCUAGUUCAUAAAUGUGUGUUAAUUCUGUUUGGUUCUAAUACCGUACUGUACCUGCUGUAUUUUAAUGGCUAUUAACAAGAAAUUAAUCAACACACACAGUCUUGACCGAUUACAGACAGAAUGGAACCAAUAACAAGGAAAGAUUCAACAAAAUAAGAACUCAGAAAAGUAUUCACAGUGAACAAGCCUCCAAGUUUUUGAAGGAAAAAGAACAAGCUCCUAUUACUCAAAUGCUUUACAAUCAGAUCAAUUGUUUUGAGGACACUUCAAGAAUUCCAAAGAAUCUCGAAUCACACGUUUUGGCUAAGAAACAAAAGAGAAAUCACACACACAAGGCACUGCACAGCAGCCCCUUUUAUCUUCUGGAAAUUUUCCAGAAACAGCUUAACAAACUUUAACGGUUCUGCCACAUCAGCGCAAAAUUUACAAAUUGACCCCUCAUCUGAAGUCGUUCUGCAUAAUUCCCCAUAAACUUUCACUCGAUUUCAUUUUAGUCCAAAAACAGUAUUCAUGUCUUCACAGUACCCAAUAUUUUCCCCGUAUUUCUAGUGAUUUCACUAAAAUUAUGCAAAUAUUUUCUUCACCUUUUGUCGGUCACAAAUCUAGAUUUUGAUUAAUUUCAUGACUUUUUGUGGUUCCACCAAGAGGCAUGUGUUGAUUAAUGAAGUUUAUAAAUUAUUUCUACUUAAUUCGAGGGGCAAGGGGAAGUUAAUUAGAUCAUAAAUAACCAGCAGGAUAACUCACACUAGCUACCAUUAAUUCAUAGAUAACUAGUGAUAAAUUCAAAAACCUUCUCUUAAUUAGGAAUGACAAAAAAGUCUGGGCCAAUAUGACCCAUUCCUAGGGGCUUCGGCCUGGGCCUCCAUAUGAAGUGUUUAGACAAGGACUUAAGGGAAAAAAAAAAAAAGCUCAAAUCAAGCUCAAACCUUCUAUUUAAAAUAAAUAAAUUAUAAAUUAGAAUAGUAAAUUAAAAUUUCAAAAUAAUUAAAAAAGACUUAAAUUUUUAAUUUAUAUAUUAAUAACGAAUCAGAAAAUCUAGAAUUAUAAUAUUUAAUUCUCUUUUAAGUGUUAAUUAAUUAAGAGGGUGUUUGAAUUAGAGAAUCUAGUGUUAAAAAAUUAAAUUUCUAAGCUUUUAUUUGCUUAUUUUUUAUUUUAUUUAGAAAUAUUCAUUUUCUUUAAUUCACUAUCUAUUAUAACAAUUUAUUAACUAUUAACUUAUUUCAAAUUUACAACGAUUUCAAAAAAUAUUAAAAAAAUAAGUGAAAACCCAAGCCUGGCCCUUAUACUUUCCCUCUAAUGGGUUUGAGCUUAGAUUUGAAAAAGCUCGAUCCAAACCCGCAUUUUGCCAUCUCUACUCCUAGUCAACUUGGAUCAUUUUUCUUUAAGAUACUGUUUGAUCUUUGCGACAAGGAUCGAAACAAAGAUGAGGACAAAGAUUAUUAAUUACCGAGAGUGAUUGUCUCAAUUUUUUAAAGACCGAGUGAUUGUCCAAUUUAUUCAAUCAUUAGAGAGACUUAUUGUCAAUCAAAAAGAUCGAUUGACACAAAGAUUGAUUGUCUUUUUUUAUUUUGAUUUUUUUUGAGAAUAUCAAUGCUUGAAUGUAUUAUUUGAUAUAUAAUUUAUUGUAAACCCAAUCACACUCUUGAGUUAUUUUUAUAAAUUCUCAAUAUAGGUCUCUGAUUCUAAUUCAAGCUUUGAUUCAAAUUAAUGCAAGGAUACAAAGGGACUCAAGAGCUUCAGUUCUCGUUUAUGUGCUAUUAUUUUAGCGUACACCAUAAAGUUAUUAGUUGAUUAUUAUUUGUCACACAUUUCAAAAAAUCAAACAUCCUAUCGAAUUAUUAAUUCCAAAGCAUGUUAUUGAAGAAUCAGUAUUGGAAAAAAAUUAUUUGAUAAUUUCAAACCCGAACUUACGCUUUAAUCCUUUAGAUUACCUCAAUUAACUUUUAUUUUAUUAGUUGACUAUCUCCGUCACAUGUUGGCAAAAAUAGAAUUGACGACAUAUGUUGCCUUAAUUUGAAAGUCAGUCAACAUGCAUUUUUCUGCGGAGAUAUUGCAAAUAUCUCGAACUUAUGCAUUAUUAAUUCAGUCAACAUGCAUGCAUUUGAAAGUCAGUCAACAUGCAUUAUUAAUUCACCGUUGAAUCCUUCUCUUUAAUAUAAUGACAAAUUCCAUCUACUACUAGAACCGUAGAGUUGUUAGAUAAAAAGUCAGUCAACUUUUAUUUUCCUCAAUGGUCGAACUUAUGUGUUUGUCAUUUGAGUGCGCGGAUCAUUUUUAUGAGAAAUUUACUGUACAUGUUUGAAAAUUUAGUUGAUUAUUGUGUUUUUUUUCAUAUCAAACAUCCAAUCAUAUUAUUUUCGAAACACAUUAUUACUUCCUUUUGAUUUCUUUAAAGUUGUCUUAUUAUAUUGAUUUUGAUUUUCUUUUUUGGCCAUUUGACUAUAUUGUCCAUGUAAAAAAAGUCUUUCACUAUUUUAUUGACCUUAAAAGUUUUAGAAUUAAUUUGUGGAUGCUCUAAACUAUAUUUACGGGAUUGGCCAUUUGACUCUUAUCAGUUGCUUGUAAUAAAUCCUUUUCAAUUCAAUUGUCGAAAAAUUCCACCGCGUGAUGGAGAAAAUUGAAUUGUGUGAUCAUACUGUGGACUUGCAAUGCUUUAUACUUACCAUUUAAAUCGAGAGCAUGACUUUGUUGACAUGCUUGAAUGACUUGGUUGAGUUCGUACCCUUAUAUUCGAGACGUUUGUUCAAAAGUCUCAUCAAAUUUUUAAAUCAAUUUGAAGAGACAACAAUUUAAUAGAUAAUAAAAUGAAAUAUAAUUUUUUUUCUUUGAAUUUAUGUAAAUUUAUGAGCAAUGCCUUGUUUGUCACAUACUCACAUAGCAUCUAUUCUAAAAAAAAAAAAAAUAAUAAUAAUAAUAAUAAUAGUUGCAUUAGUGUUAUAAUUUGACUAGAUUAAUAAUUAAAUAAGGGCAUAUUUGGUUGAUGUAUUAUAACUCCUCAUUACAUUAAAUUUAUACAAGCCCAUGUUUGGUAAACUAAAAGCUACAGAAACACUGCAUAAUAGGUCAAUCUAAUGCGGCAAACUAAACCCGACUCACAUAGUCUUGCUUAACUUUGAAAAUAGUAGUUCACCACUGAACCAAAGCUCAAAUGACAAAAAACUCAAAUUUUAAUUGAAGAUAAAUUGAUUACUAGACACACCAAUUAAUUCCACUGAGAAAAAACAAACCUACUCUAUUCCACUAUCUUGGCUCUCAUACUACAUCACAAAGACUAUUAAAUAACCGAGAGUGAUUAUCCCAAUAUUUGUUAAUCACUAGAAAGAUUCAUUGCCAAUCAAUAAGACCAACUGACGCAAAGAUUGAUUGUCCAUUUUCAUUUUUUUUUGGGACAAUAUCAACGCUUGAAUGUAUUACUUAAUGUAUAAUUCAAUGCAAGCCCAGUCAUACUCUUUAAGUUAUUUAUAUAAAUUCUCAUUAUCAGCCUUUGAUUUUAAUUUAGAGCUUUGAUUCACAUUAAUGCAAGGAUACAACAAGACUGAAGAGCUUCAGAUAUCGUUUAUGUCUUGUUAUUUCAAUGUAAACCACAAUUUUAUGAGUAAUUUACUCAAAUGUUUAAGCAGGUACGAAAUUAAUUUAUUAUUGAUUUUCACAAGUUUCACAAUAUAUCAAACAUCCUAUCGAAUUAUUAAUUCCAAAGUACGUGAUUUAGGAAUCAAUACUAGAAAAAAUUAUUUGAUAAUUUCAAACCUAAACUUUCGCGUCGAUUCUCUAAAGUAUCUCAAUCAACUUUUAUUUUAUUGGUUAACUAUCUCAUCACCUGCUGGAAAAAAUAGAAUAUACAACCACUUGUGUGUUGGCUUAAAUUCAAAAGUCAGUCAACAUUUAUUUUUCACAGUAUUAAUGAAGCAUUUUUCAUCCUCAUUGGUUCAAGUUUUACAAGUCUUCGUUAGUCAUUAUAGAGGCCAAACUAAGGCUAUGUUUGGUACAGCUUUUCAAGUAAAACUUAUUUAAGUAAAGCUUUUGUCAGUAGAGCUUUUACAAAUAGAGUUUUUACCUAAAAAAAUUUAGUUGUUUGGUUAUCAAUAAGUGUUUUUAUUAAAAAUCUAUAAAAUUAAUUUAAUAGACAAUUUUUUUAAGUUACGUUAUGAAAAGAAUAAAAUAAAAUUUUUAAAUAAGUAGAGGAUAUUUUGAAUAUUUUAACAUUUAAAAAAAGUUUUUCAACCUCUACUCCCAAAAGCCCAAAAUUUGAGUUUUUACUAGUAGAGGCAAAAUAACUUAUUUAAGAUUUAAAAGCUUUACUAAAAAAAUAACCAAACAAAAAUAAAAAUUAUGAUAAAGGGAUUAAAUAAGCAUUUAUGGCCAUUAGAUAAAUUAUACCAAACAGGUACUAAUUAUCUUAAUAUAUGUCUAUCACUAUAAAGAUCGAUUGUCCAGUAGCAUUAAGAUUGAUUGAAUCAAUCUUUGAAAAUCAAUCAAAUUUACAAUUAUAAUAAUUGUAACAUUUUUUUCAUUAAUUUUUAAUUUUUGUAUAAAUUGAGCUUUUAUGCCCAUGAUUAGUGAAUUGAUAUAGUGAAAAAAUUGAUUUUGGUUUACGUGUAUAAUAUUUGAACAAACUUCAAGUCUUGAGCUAUAUAACACUUAAAUAUGAGUUAGGUCCACAUAUUAUUCUACUUGCCCUUCUAGUGGGAAAUAUUAAUUUACCACACAGAGUUUUAAUGGACUUAUCAUUCAUAGGUUUUAGUAGUCACCGUGGUUUGGCACUUUAACUCAAUGAUUAAAUGUUGUAAUAUAUAUGUAUUUAUAUAUAAAAUUCGUCGUAUUUAAAUUGCACCUCUCCAUAUGUUGUGCAUCAUAAAAGAUGUCAUGUUAAUGUAAUCCACACUUUUAUGAGUAAAUUAAGAAAUAUAAAGGGAAAAUUAACUGAUUAAUUAUUGAUCAUCUAAUAAUAAAAACCAAUUUACCAAAAAUCUAUUAAAAUAAUUUUCAAAACUCAUUAAAUAUUUGAGAAUAUCAAACAUCAAUGCUUGAAUAGAUUGUUGAGGCGAAGGCUUAACUCGAGUGGUAAGAGCAUUGCUUGCCUAAGGCCAAGGUCUUGAGUUCGAGUCUCAUUAGAGGAGAAUGAGGUGAAAUCUAGUGAUCCUCUUUAAAAAAAAAAUGCUCGAAUAGAUUGUUUGAAAAUUCGGUGCAAACCUAAUCAUACAAUUCAACCCAAUUAUGCUCUCAAAUUAUAUAAAUUCUUAGUCAACUUUUAUUUUAUAGUAUUGACAAUCUCCAGUAAUUGAUAGUAGGGGUGGACAAAAUAUCCGACCCGAUCCAAUCCGAAAAAUAUUGGGUUUAGAUAAGAUCGGGUUGUUACUGAAACCCGAUCGGAUGAAUUCUUCUUAACCCGAUCUAAUCCGAAACCUGAUUGGAUUGCUUUAGAAUUAAAAAUAAAUAAAAAAUAAACCUAAACGGCAAACACUAACCUAACACACACACACCACACAACAUAUUACAUGGCACAUUAUACAAUACGCACACAACGCUCACAACCUCACACUCAUAGCUCAAGCCUCACAAAACUCAAAACACGUCGCCGACAGCCACAACCACAACCAUCUCCCUCCCACAAGAACACUCUUCACGCCCCUCAGGGUCACGGUUUCAUGCACACAGCACACACACACGCACACGGCGCACACGCAUCUCAAGAAGUCAAGCACUGUCUUCACGGAUCACAGUCACAGUCACUGCUGAACACUGUGCUGCUGCGUGUCCGCGAGAUCUGUGCUCCAUGUUGCCGGAUAUGUCCAAGCUCCAAACAAUCUGGCAACUGCUGCAUGUGCAACUCGAUUCCAGUACCCGACCUGAGUUUCCCUUUCUGAACCUGAUCUUAUCUGAAUUCAAUCCGAUUUUUUUUAUCUAAUCAGAUUGGGUUAUAAAUUCGAGUUGCAUUUGAAUUAAUUAAUGUCCAACUCGAUCUGAAUCCGAUUUUGCCCACCCCUAAAUUAUUCAUUUGAUAGAAGAAAAGGAAUUGAUGGCCUUGUUUCUUGGCUUAAAUUGAAAGUCAGUCAACUUCAAUUUUCCCAUAGUUGUAAUAAUAUAUGAAAAAUAGGUUAGAGUCAGAUGUCGUUUAUGUGUCAUUAUAUCAGUGUCCACCACAAAUUUAUGAGUAAUUUAUUAAAAUGUCUAAACAUUUAUAAAAAAAUAGUUGAUUAUUGAUUUUCAAAAAUUUCAAUAUAUUAAAUAUCCUAUUGAAUUAUUAAUUCCAGAGCACUCUUUUAAGUAUCAAUAGUGGAAUAAAUUAUUUGAUAAUUUCAAAUCCAAACUUAUGCCUAAAUUCUUUAAAUUAUCUCAAUCAACUUUUAUUUUAUUAGUUGACUAUCUCCAUCAAUUGUUGUACAAAAUAGAAUUGACGGCCAUUUGUAUGUCGGCUUAAUUUGAAAGUCACUCAACAUUUAUUUUCCAUGGAGUAUUAACGAAGCGUUUUUCCUCAUUGGUCCAGGUCCUACAAGUCUUUGUUAGUCAUUAUAGAGACCAAAACUAAUUAUCUUUAUAUGCGCCAAUUGCUAUAAAGAUUGAUUUUGAAUUAAUAUUAAGAUCGAUUGUCCAGUAACAAUAAGAUUGAUUGAAUCAAUCUUUAAAAAUCAAUCAAAUUUCCAAUUAUAAUAAUUGUGACAUUUUUUCUUAAAUUCGUAAUUUUUGUAUAAAUUGAGUUUUUAUGCUCAUGAUCGGUGAAGUAAUAGAGCGAAAAAAUUGAUAUUGGUAGAAAAUAUUAAUUAAGCAUACAUUGGGUUUCGAUUGACUAAUCAUUCACAGGUUUUGGUGGUCAUCAUGAUUGGCGCUUUAACACAAUGAUUGAAUGCUGCAAUAUAUAAGUAUUCAUAUAUAAAAUUAAGCCUGUUUAAAUUGCACCUCUACAUAUGUCAUACAUCAUAUAAAAUGUCAUUUGGAUGUAGUCCACACUUUUACAAGUAAAUUAUCAAAUAUAUAUGGAAAAUUACUUGAUUAAUUAUUAAUCAUCUAAUAGUAAAAAAAAUUUACCAAAAAUCUAAUAAAAUAAUUUUCGAAACUCACUAAAUAUUUUAGAAUAUCAAUCCUUGAAUAGAUUAUUUGAUAAUUCAGUGCAAACCGAAUCAUAUUCAUACAAUUCAAUAAAAGCCUAAUCAUACUCUUAAAUUACAUAAACUUUUAGUCAACUUUUAUUUUAUAGUGUUGACCGCAACCUAAUUUAAUGCCAUAUCCCAUAUUAGUAUUCAAUCUUUGUUUAGUGCAUUUUAGCUUCUUCAAACUCCAUAAACAUUAAAUAUUUAAGAUUUGUGGCAUAAUUAUUUCUNNNNNNNNNNNNNNNNNNNNNNNNNNNNNNNNNNNNNNNNNNNNNNNNNNNNNNNNNNNNNNNNNNNNNNNNNNNNNNNNNNNNNNNNNNNNNNNNNNNNNNNNNNNNNNNNNNNNNNNNNNNNNNNNNNNNNNNNNNNNNNNNNNNNNNNNNNNNNNNNNNNNNNNNNNNNNNNNNNNNNNNNNNNNNNNNNNNNNNNNNNNNNNNNNNNNNNNNNNNNNNNNNNNNNNNNNNNNNNNNNNNNNNNNNNNNNNNNNNNNNNNNNNNNNNNNNNNNNNNNNNNNNNNNNNNNNNNNNNNNNNNNNNNNNNNNNNNNNNNNNNNNNNNNNNNNNNNNNNNNNNNNNNNNNNNNNNNNNNNNNNNNNNNNNNNNNNNNNNNNNNNNNNNNNNNNNNNNNNNNNNNNNNNNNNNNNNNNNNNNNNNNNNNNNNNNNNNNNNNNNNNNNNNNNNNNNNNNNNNNNNNNNNNNNNNNNNNNNNNNNNNNNNNNNNNNNNNNNNNNNNNNNNNNNNNNNNNNNNNNNNNNNNNNNNNNNNNNNNNNNNNNNNNNNNNNNNNNNNNNNNNNNNNNNNNNNNNNNNNNNNNNNNNNNNNNNNNNNNNNNNNNNNNNNNNNNNNNNNNNNNNNNNNNNNNNNNNNNNNNNNNNNNNNNNNNNNNNNNNNNNNNNNNNNNNNNNNNNNNNNNNNNNNNNNNNNNNNNNNNNNNNNNNNNNNNNNNNNNNNNNNNNNNNNNNNNNNNNNNNNNNNNNNNNNNNNNNNNNNNNNNNNNNNNNNNNNNNNNNNNNNNNNNNNNNNNNNNNNNNNNNNNNNNNNNNNNNNNNNNNNNNNNNNNNNNNNNNNNNNNNNNNNNNNNNNNNNNNNNNNNNNNNNNNNNNNNNNNNNNNNNNNNNNNNNNNNNNNNNNNNNNNNNNNNNNNNNNNNNNNNNNNNNNNNNNNNNNNNNNNNNNNAGGGUUAGAUUUUGUAAAAUGUAGGAGUCUGUUAAUACUAAGAAGAAUGGAAAGUUGAUUAGUGUGAAUAUAAUUUUUAUUGAUGAAAAGGUUGUGUACACUUAACUAUACACAUUAAUAUAUAUUUUUAAAGUUAACAAAAAAAUAAUUAACUUUCAUAGAGCGGAAAAAUUGAUAUGGGGUAGAAAAUAUUAAUUAAGCAUACAUUGGGUUUCGAUUGACUAAUCAUUCACAGGUUUUGGUGGUCAUCAUGAUUGGCGCUUUAACACAAUGAUUGAAUGCUGCAAUAUAUAAGUAUUCAUAUAUAAAAUUAAGCCUGUUUAAAUUGCACCUCUACAUAUGUCAUACAUCAUAUAAAAUGUCAUUUGGAUGUAGUCCACACUUUUACAAGUAAAUUAUCAAAUAUAUAUGGAAAAUUACUUGAUUAAUUAUUAAUCAUCUAAUAGUAAAAAAAAUUUACCAAAAAUCUAAUAAAAUAAUUUUCGAAACUCACUAAAUAUUUUAGAAUAUCAAUCCUUGAAUAGAUUAUUUGAUAAUUCAGUGCAAACCGAAUCAUAUUCAUACAAUUCAAUAAAAGCCUAAUCAUACUCUUAAAUUACAUAAACUUUUAGUCAACUUUUAUUUUAUAGUGUUGACCGUCUCCACUAAUGGUUAGCGGAUAAAGAAUUGAUGGCCACUUGUUUGCAGGCUUAAUUUGAAAGUCAGCCAACUUUAAUUUCCCACGUGGUUGUAAUAAUAUAUGGAAAAUUAGAUAGGGUCAUUUAAAUUGAACCCGUACAGCUGUCCUAAGUUUAUAUGAAAUUUAUGUUUUUGUCAUUUCAAGUGAUUGUAAUAGGAGUCAAGCUGCAGAUUGAGAGCAAUGGAAACUUUCCUCGUUAAGGAUUCUCAAUAUCUUUGAUUUUAGUAGAGCUUUGAUUCAAAUGCAUGAAGACAAAGAGUCACAAGAGCUUCAAAUAACUUUGAUGUGUUUAGUCAUUUAAGACUGCGCCACAAUUUUAUGAGUAAUUAAACUAAACAUGUAUGAAAAUUUAGGUUGAUUAAUUAUUGAUUUUCUAAUAAAUUAAUUUAAACUUAUCAAACAUCCAAUCAAAUUCUUCUCAAAACACAUUAUUUAAUCGAUUGACUGAAAAUGCAAUGGAAAUCCAAACAAACGGUUAAAUUAUUUAAAUUCUCUCAGUCAACUUUUAUUUUAUUAGUUAUGAUUAUCUCCAUCAAACUAUUGAAAAAAUUUAUAGUUUACAAUCACUUUAUCUAUAUUUUCCACGGGGUAUUAAUGAAGUGCUUUUUCCCGUUGGUCAAAUGUUGCAAAACAUGGAAUGCUUACAAGUCUUCAAAGAUGGCGAUGUAUUGGAAAGUCUUAAAAAAGUCUUCAGCCAAUCAAAUUGCAAGACCUGCGAUAAACUUUUAGUAUAAAUUGCUUUGCAAUGGAAAGUUGCUCAUUGCACAUUUUAUUUUAACCAAAUGAAAAGUUGCUCUGCAAUGGAAAGUACUUCCUGUCUUAAGUUCUCAUUAAUGUCACUAAUUUGGAUUAUUGUAUUGAUGAAUGAAAUUCAUGGAUACAAAGGAUGCUUGGAAACAGAGAGGAGUGCUCUGUUGGAAAUCAAGAGCUUCUUCAUAUCACUCAGUGAUAUUAGAUAUGAUGACAAAAUUCUUCCUUCAUGGGUUGGUGAGGAUGAUGGAAUGCCGUCUGAUUGUUGUGAUGAUUGGGUGGGAGUUAUGUGCAACGCCACCACACGACGCGUGAUGCAACUCUCACUCAAUUAUUCACAGGGAUUGAAUUCUUUUUAUAGUACUUCGGCUUCGCUUUUGAUCAAUAUGUCAUUGUUUCAUCCUUUUGAAGAAUUGCAAAGCCUUGACUUAUCUUCCAAUGGGUUUACAGGCAUCUAUGAGAAUAGAGGUCCGUAUAUAUGUGUACAUUUAUUUCUCGUCCAUAAAUAUUUUGUCAGUGACUAAUUAAUAAUAACACUUCAUAUGCAUUUGCAGCUUACGAUAGCUUUGGGAGUUUGAGGCAGCUGGAGAUGUUAAAUCUUGGUAAUAAUGACUUCAACGACAGCAUAUUACCAUAUUUGAAUACACUAACUUCACUUACCACUCUGAAUCUUCGUUACAAUUCCAUUGAAGGUUCCAGAACCAAGCAAGGUAUACAUAUACGUUUCAGGCCAGCAGAUAUACAUGUCAGGCAACUUAAUUAAUUUCUUAAUUAAAAUAUAUAUUUAUAUUGUCUUGAUCAAAAUUAAUGUUUUCUGAGCAGGAUUAGUAAAUUUGAGAUACUUGCAAGUGUUGGAUCUAAGCGCGAACUACAAUAUAACUAGUAGCUCUUUAACAAGGCUAGGUAGGCUACUGAGAUAAUUACCAAGUCAGCACACGAAUCACAACCUUCUACAAUAAUUUUAAAAAGUAAUAUUUUACUUUUCAUUGGUGUAGGAUUGGCAAAUAUGACAAACCUGAAAGAAUUAGAUCUUCGUGGUUGUGGAAUAACUACAAUUCAAGGUACACGGCAACAAGUCACUACCCAAAUUCCUUGUGAUAUUAUUAUGCCCUUAAUUUUUACACAUGUAUAAUGUCAAAUUAAAACCCAUUUUUUACUGGAAAACUUGACAAACUUCACUACAAUUGGUACACGACAAAAAUUUACUUUCUAAUUUCUUAGUAAAAUUUAAAAAAAAAAAAAAAGUCAUUUUUGAGUAUAUGAUCAAUUUAAUUAGAUCUGAAUCAUAAGCUUUAUUACUACAAUUAUUUAAUCUAAAUUUAUUUCUUAAUCUUAAUUCUUUUUUUUCCAAAGAUGAUUAAUAAAAUUUUUCUUCUUUCUUGGUGCAGGAUUAGCUAAAUUAAAAAACUUGGAAGCAUUGGAUUUGAGUUCUAAUUAUAUUAGACACGGUUCUUUAGAAGGUCAUUUUUUUAAUUAAACAAUUUGCACAGUUAAUUUUCAUUCAAUAUUUACCAUAUUAUUUUAAUUAAACAAUUUAGACAAGAGUGACAUAACUGUUAUUAACAAAAUUUAUGUUUUUUUUUUAACAGGAUUAGCAAAUUUGACAAACCUACAAGUGUUGGAUUUAAGCGGUAAUCAAAAUCUGACAACACUAGGUAGGCCACUGAAUCUGAGAUAAGAAGCAAAUUAAAUGUAGAAUUAAUGUUCAUCAAACGCGCGGAUCACAUACAAUGCCUUUAAAUGUAAUAUUUUCAUUUUCUAUCGGCGCAUGUAGGAUUCCCAGAUUUGCCAAACUUGAAAACAUUGGAUCUUGGUUAUUGUGGGAUAACUACAACUCAAGGUAAAAUUUUUAAAAUAAACGUACGCAGUUAUUUUUCGUUGAAACAUGAUAAUUUUUAAUACUUUCAUUAAUUAUUUAUACCCCCAAUUUCUAGCGACUUGUUUGUUGGUCAAGCAAGCUACUUGAAAGGCAAAAUUAUGAACACCAAUUUUUCUCCCCUUUAAUUAAAAAUACCUUUUAAAAUCGAGUUCUUUAUUUGUAUCGUUGAUUUUAUGAGAGGAAAUAUUUAAAUAUUCAAGACAAAUUAAUUUAGUGCCUCUUAGACCAUUUAUUAUUUAUGAAAACAACUAAAAAAUUAGAGAACCAAUAUAAUGUCCAAUGAGCGCGUACCUAAUAUGUGGUAGGCAAUUAUGAUGAACAAGAAGUGUUGAACUCUUUUUUAGAUUAUUUGAAAUGACUUAGAAGUCAACAUCAAAAUAUACGAGAAUAAUACUAAUUAAUUUCUAGGUAUAAUUUAACAGGGAUUUGAUUUUUUUCUUUUUUGAUAGAUUAUAGGGGUUCUGACUAAAUUAUCUACUUUUAGAAAAUUAGGAAGUCAUUCUUUCUCUCCUUUUUUUGAUAGAUUGUAGUGGCUCUCUAACAAAUUUAUGUUUUUUUUAACAGGAUUAGCAAAUUUGACAAACCUGCAAGUGUUGGAUUUAAGCGGUAAUCAAAAUUUGACAGCGCUAGGUAAGCCACUGAAUCUGAUAUUAGAAGCAAAUUAAGAAUUAAUGUUCAUCCAACGCGCAUAUCACAUACAAUGCCUUUACAUGUAAUAUUUUCAUUUUUUAUCGACGCAUGUAGGAUUCGCAGAUUUGCCAAACUUGAAAGCAUUGGAUCUUGGUUAUUGUGGGAUAACUACAAUUCAAGGUAUAUAACAAUUCACUUCCUUCAAUGACAAAAAUUGUUUUAGAUGUUAAUCAAGAUGAUAAUGUAUUUCCAUUUUUUUAAUUGCUUUUUCACAUUUUUAAGUUUACUCAACGUGCAAACAAAUUUAAGAAUUAUGAUUCAGAUACUCCAAAUCUAAGUAAUGCUAAAAGGGACNNNNNNNNNNNNNNNNNNNNNNNNNNNNNNNNNNNNNNNNNNNNNNNNNNNNNNNNNNNNNNNNNNNNNNNNNNNNNNNNNNNNNNNNNNNNNNNNNNNNGUAUGGAGAAUCCUUUUUUUUUUCUUUUAAUAGAAGAAACGGGUUUGAUAAUAAAAAUAAAUAAAAACUAAAGAAUGGGGUUUACACUAAUAAGUUUUAAUAAGGGUAUUUUUUUCAUUGAAGGUGGUGUUAAAACAAUUUUAUAAUAAUUUUAAAUAUUUUAAUGGGAUUAAUAAAGAAAAUGGGUGUUAAGAGGUAUUUAGAGGGGUGCCAAUAGUUCCACUUUUAUUUGAAAUGCUUUAGAAAUAAACACCAUAAUAUACGAGAAUAAUACAAAUUGAUUCCUAUGAAUAAUUUAUAGGGUUUUAGUGUUUUUUUUUUUUUAUAAAUCAUACGGGUUUUGACUAAAUUCACUAAAAUUAGAAAACCAUAAAGUCAUUCUUUCUAUGAAUUUUGAACUUCUUAUUUUUUAUUUUCAGGAUUAUGUGAGUUGAAGAAUCUUUUUGAGUUGAAUCUUAAAAGAAAUAAUGUUGAGGGUCAUCUUUCUAACUGUCUCAAAUACUUAUCUCACCUCAAGGUUCUUGAUAUUUCUCACAAUCAGUUAAGUGGGAGUUUGUCUUCUACUAUCACCAGCCUCACUUCACUUGAAUAUUUGGAUCUUUCCUACAACAACUUUGAAGGACCAUGGCCCCUCAGUUCAUUAGCUAAUCAUUCAAAGCUUGAGGUCUUGCUACUCUCAUCAACGAACAAUAUGUUGCUGGUGAAAACUGAAAACUUUCUCCCUACAUUUCAAUUGAAAGUUCUUGGGUUAGCUAACUGCAGCUUAAAUGUUGUUCCUACUUUUCUUCUUCACCAAUAUGACUUAAAAUACCUUGAUCUCUCUCACAAUAAUUUGGUUGGUGAUUUCCCAUCUUGGGUGUUACAAAACAACACCAAGCUAGAGGUCUUGUUUUUGACAAACAACGCAUUCACAGGGAAUCUCCAACUACCCAAUACCAAACAUGAUUUUCUUCAUCAUUUAGAUGCCUCUAGCAAUAACUUCAUUGGUACGCUUCCGCAAGAUAUGGGAACUAUCCUUCAAAAAUUGUUGUUUCUGAAUAUUUCCAACAAUCAUUUUGAAGGCAAUAUUCCUUCUUCGGUUGGUGAGAUGAAAGAACUCAGACUUCUACACUUGUCAAAAAAUAAUUUUUCAGAAGACUUAUCAACACCAUUUCUCACUGGUUGCAUCUCACUAUUCUUCUUAGACCUAUCUGAUAACAAUUUCUACGGCCAAAUUUUUUCCAAGUAUAUGAACUUGACUCAUUUGGAGCUCUUAUAUUUGGAGAACAAUAAGUUUAGUGGGAAAAUUGAGGAGGGGCUAUUGAACUCCCCUGAUUUAUGGGUGUUAGACAUAUCCCACAAUUUUUUGUCCGGUCAUAUUCCUCACUGGAUGGGUAAUAUCUCAAAUCUUGAGAUUCUUUUGAUGGCCAACAAUUGUUUGGAAGGUAAUAUACCUGUCCAACUCCUCAAUCAUAGAACGCUUGAACUUUUAAGUGUCUCCGAAAAUUAUUUGUCUGGGUCCAUGACAUCUUCCUUCAAUCUUUCUUCACUGAAGCACCUGUAUGCGAAAAAGAAUGCUCUAAGUGGGCCAAUUCCAGAUAUGUUGUUUAGAAGUUCCAAGUUAAUGACUCUAGAUUUGAGAGAUAAUGGAUUCUUUGGUAGAAUUCCCUGUCAGAUUAAUGAUCGCUCAAAUCUUCGUGUUCUUCUUUUGAGAGGGAACAAUCUAGAAGGACAAAUUCCGAAUCAGAUGUGUCAAUUAAAGAGCUUAGGUAUGAUGGAUCUGUCGCAUAACAGAUUCAAUGGAUCAAUACCUUCUUGCUUUACUAAUAUGUUGCAGUGGACUAUCGGAAAUGUUGAUUUGUUUGGAUAUGAACUUUCGGUUUUUCCUAGUUUAGGUUUUGGCACCAUUGGCACUUACUACAACUCUACUCUUGACUUGAGCAUGUCUGAAGGAGAUGUGUAUACAUCCCCUCAGCUAGUAAAAGUAGAAUUUAUGACAAAGAAUAGAUAUGAACUUUACAAUGGUAGCAAUCUUAACUAUAUGGUUGGGCUGGAUUUGUCAUGCAACGAAUUGACUGGAAACGUCCCAUCAGAAAUUGGAGAUCUUAAAAAAAUUCGUGGGUUGAAUUUGUCUCACAAUUGGUUGUCAGGAUCUAUACCAAGGAGUUUUUCCAAUUUGAAAAUGAUAGAGAGCCUAGACCUUUCCAACAACAGAUUGAGUGGACAAAUUCCUGCUCAACUGAUUGAGCUCAAUUUUUUGUCCAACUUCAAUGUGUCGUACAAUAACUUGUCCGGCCUAAUCCCAGACAAAGGCCAAUACUCCACGUUUGAUGAAAGCAGUUACAGAGGUAACCUCUAUCUUUGUGGUCCAACAAUUAAUAAGAGUUGCAACAGUGCAGAGGAAAUACCAGCAAUAAAAUCCAAAGGAAGAGAAGACGAAGAUGAUUCUGCAAUUGACAUGGUGUCAUUAUAUUGGAGUUUCGGUGCAUCUUAUGUGACAGUGAUAUUGGGGUUGUUUGCAAUCCUAUGGAUAAAUUCAUUUUGGCGCAAACGAUGGUUCUAUUUCAUCGAUGCAUGUAUUGAUUUAUGUUACUAUUGCCAUAAGUACUAAUGUAUCAUUCAAUUGGCUUCUCGAUCCGCAAAACCUUGUGCAUAAAUAAAUGUUUGUUAUUUCAGUUUGGUUCUCAAACCAAAGUCAAAGUAUUAUUCAUAUAUUCAGCAAAUUUUGAAAUGUGCUGUAAUUUUGGUUCAACUCGUUAAUAUUGUAUGUCAAACUCAAAUCCAACUUUAGCCGUGUUGAUGAAAAAAAGUUGAUUUAGAUAAAUUUAGACUCAAAUGUCUCUGUGCUAUUGAACUCAUCUUUCAAGUUCUUCACUGUAUUUUCAAAAGCCAUCGAUUUGUUUGUCCAAGGAUAAGCAUUUCUCCCUACAGGAAAAAAAAGAAAUUAAUUUAUUUAAUAAAUAAAAAUUCAAACAUUGUUAAUAUCCAAUAUUAAGCUAAAAGAGAUAUCACAAAAUUUAUUAACAUCAUAAGGAAGAAAGCCGCAGCCACUGGAUCCAUAAUUGACACCCGAUCUCACUUUUUUUUAUUUGUUGUUCAUCCUUUAAACUUAAGCUCGGAGGAGGGAGUGGCAAUCCAAAUACUUGAGCUAUCAUCAGCAAAAUAUUAAUCACUCAUUAAUGAUUAAUCAUAAUUAUAAUUAAAAAAAAAAAGAUCAAUGUUUCAUUUCGUUUGCAAAUUCUAGAAUUUCGUUUGCAAAUUCUGUUUGUUACCUUAUUGGAGACGAUGUACCAUUAAACUGCGACCACAACAAUAUUUGGCUAUCUCAAAGUUUGUUUUAAACAAACUUUUAAUACUAAACUUGUAAUUGUAAACAAAGAAAUACUAAACUUAUUAGCCGCUUUCAAGUCAUUAGAAAAUAAAUUUUCUUUCUAUUUAGAGACAAUUGUUAACAGUGAUACAUGGUUUCUGUCAAGAUCCAUUUAGGAAUAAAGUCGAGCAAAAUGAAUUCUUUUAGAGAUCACAGCAAACAGGCUUUAAAAAAUAAUAAUAAUUUAUAAAUCUUUUACAUAUGAAUAAUGAGAAAUGAUCUGCUUUGCAGAAGCGUUACAUAACAUUAUUGAAGCAAUUCAAAACUUAAAUAUUAUUUAUAAUGAGUCAUCACCAGAUCAAUUUCUACUCUGUGUAUGCAUGUACUUAAAUAUUAUUUACCCAAAUAUUAUAGAUAAAUUAUAAUAAAAUCUUUAUAAAUUCAUAGUAUUGGGAAGAAAUUUAUUAUUAUAUGGAAUAUAUUUAUAUUCUAAUGAUAGGCGUUUAAUCAAUUAAAAAAUUAAUUGAAUAUAAAUUAAUUCACUAAAUAAACACUAUAUUAAACAAAAAAUAUAUUUAAAAUUAUUGCAUUUGAGAAAUUAGACAUGAGAUCCAAUUGUAUUAAAUUAAAGAAAAAAUAACAACUGAGUUAUAUCUAAUUUAAUAAAAUGUUAUGAUUAUUAAAUCAGUAAUUUUAGGUGUAAUAAACAUAAUGACAAAAUGACUAAUGUUUUAACUGGACGGCAUGAAAUAGGUUUUUAAUUGACAGAAAAAAAUUAAAAAAAAUAAUUUUGUUCUAAUCUUAUUCUUAUAUUUUUAUUGAUGGACCCUUUCGGCCUAACAGAUGUCAUCAGGCCAAUACUCAUCUCAAUUACCCAAUUUUUAUAUUUUUUAUAAAAUUAUAAAUACACAUAUAAAAUAUAUUUUUUUCCUUUUUUAUUUAUAUAGUAACUAGCUAGAUUGCAAAGUGCACAUUCUAAAAUUUUUGUCUCUAAAUUUGUCUUCCCAAGUCGGACAACCAGCAGUAAGUUCUCUAAAUAAAGGUUAGGAUGUUUUUGUAUUUUCUUUUAAGUUAUUUUAUUUAUGAUUAAAUCGUAUGUAAAUUUAUUAUUAUUAUUAUUUGCUUAAAUAACAUAAUGAGAUAGGAGAAAUCAGUUAUAUUUUUUAGAUGUGAAAAAAAGUUGAGUUUUUUAUAUUUUUUAUAUUUUUUGAUGUAGGAAUAAAUUGUUUUGCCCAAGCACAAGAAAAUAAUUUUUUUCCCCCAUCUUAUGUUAUCGAAGUUGAAUGAUAUAAUAGCAUUUUUUAAAUAGUUUGAUUUAAUUCAUUAUUUUCAUGAAUUUAAAAUAAUGCCAGUAUUUGAGUAGAAUAACAUUUUACAAAUUUCAUGAAAUAAAUUCUUUCUGAGAUCAAUUCUCUUUUCUUCAGAGAGGAGUCGCAUUCUCGAUAAUUUUAAAACCCUAAAACAUGAUUAAUCUCAUAAAUAAAAAUAUUUUCUGUUAUAUUCAUUAUUAUCUCACGUCGAACUUAGGACAUGAGAUCCAAUAAAACUACUCUUUAAUACUAGAGCAUUUAAUGAUCCCUGUAGGAAAACAAUAAAUCAAUUUCUAUAAAUAAAUGUUGUAAGACUGUAAUAAUGAUGCUCUUCUGCUAGAAUCCCCAAGACUUGUGACAUAAGUACAUGGGUAAUUGUAUUUAUUAGUUUCCUUGCUAAACUUGGGCUUCGUUCUAUAUAAUUAAUUUAUAUAAUUAUUAAAUUUCAUAUUUGUUUGAUUUUCAUAAAUUAGAGAGGACGAAGCGGUAUGAUGAAGAGGCAGCAGCUAAUUUCGGAUUCAUCAAUUUGAAUGAUGUUUGAUGAGAUUAUUACGUGGACUUGGACUUGCAAUUAGAUUCGUUUGUGAGUGUUUGUCUCUUUUUUUGUUGUUGUGACAGAGCUGUUGGAGGUUCAUUUUAUACAACUCAUACUACCACUUUUUAAGAAUUUUAAGGCAUGUUCAACAUUAUUUUUAGAGUGGUGUUUUCAUUUUUGUUUUGAGUGUACAUAUAUAAUAUAUGUUCGAUAGAUUAAAUUUAAAAAAUAAAUUAUAAAACAAAUAAUUCAGAUUUCACUUUAUAGUUAUAAAACUGAAAACAUAUUAAACACGUUCUCAAUGAAUCAUAGUCCAAACUCCUGAAUAAGAGAGGAGUAAGCAUUCUGAUGACUGUUAUUUGUGAUCAGGAUCUCAGUGGUGUAUCGACUAUGAACUUCAACCUGCAGACAGCUCUAGAUUUACAAUUCAAUUGCCGAAAAAUUCAAUCACAUGUGGAGAAAAUUGAAAAGUGGGAUCAUACCAUGGACUUGGAAAUUUUGUACAUACCCUUGAUUUGGAGUUUUUGCGCAGCAAUAUGAAUUGAGAGCAUGAUGAUCACUUUGUUAACAUGUAUAAUGACUUGAUUCGUACCCUCAUAUUCGAGUCUUUCUUCCAGAAGUCUCAUAGAAGUUUAAUCUAAAUUGAAAAGAGAACAAUUUAGUAUAUAAUAAAAUGAAAUAUAAUUUUUUUCAUUAAACUUGUGAAAAUUUAUGAACUUAAUACUGCAUUAACACCACCAGCAACACCUACAGAAGGAGAAGAAGAAGAAGACGAUUCUGUGAUUGAAAUGGUGGCAUUAAGAUGGAGUUUUGGAGCAUCCUAUGUCAUUGAUAGAUGCAUUGACAUAUGCUACUCAAAUGCUUAAACUUAUUACUCAAAUGCUUUACAAUCAGAUCAAUUGUUUUGAGGACACUUCAAGAAUUCCAAAGAAUCUCGAAUCACACGUUUUGGCUAAGAAACAAAAGAGAAAUCACACACACAGCAGCCCCGUUAACAAACUUUAACGGUUCUGCCACAUCAGCGCAAAAUUUACAAAUUGACCCCUCAUCUGAAGUCGUUCUGCACAAUUCCCCAUAAACUUUCACUCGAUUUCAUUUUAGUCCAAAAACAGUAUUCAUGUCUUCACAGAACCCAAUAUUUUCCCCGUAUUUCUAGUGAUUUCACUAAAAUUAUGCAAAUAUUUUCUUCACCUUUUGUCGGUUACAAAUCUAGAUUUUGAUUAAUUUCAUGACUUUUUGUGGUUUCACCAAGAGGCAUGUGUUGAUUAAUGAAGUUUAUAAAUUAUUUCUACUUAAUUCGAGGGGCAAGGGGAAGUUAAUUAGAUCAUAAAUAACCAGCAGGAUAACUUACACUAGCUACCAUUAAUUCAUAGAUAACUAGUGAUAAAUUCAAAAACCUUCUCCUAAUUAGGAAUGACAAAAAAGUCUGGGCCAAUAUGACCCAUUCCUAGGGGCUUCGGCCUGAGCCUCCAUAUGAAGUGCUUAGACAAGGACUUAAGAGAAAAAAAAAAAAAAAAAAGCUAAAGUCAAGCCUAUAUUUAAAAUAAAUAAAUUAUAAAUUAGAAUAGUAAAUUAAAAUUUCAAAAUAAUUAAAAAAGACUUAAAUUUUUAAUUUAUAUAUUAAUAAUGAAUCAGAAAAUCUAGAAUUAUAAUAUUUAAUUCUCUUUUAAGUGUUAAUUAAUUAAGAGAGUGUUUGAAUUAGAUAAUCUAGUGUUAAAAAAUUAAAUUUCUAAGCUUUUAUUUGCUUAUUUUUUAUUUUAUUUAGAAAUAUUCAUUUUCUUUAAUUCACUAUCUAUUAUAACAAUUUAUUGACUAUUAACUUAUUUCAAAUUUACAACAAUUUCAAAAAAUAUUGAAAAAAUAAGUGAAAACCCAAGCUUGGCCCUUAUACUUUCCCUCUAAUGGGUUUGAGCUUAGAUUUGAAAAAGCUUGAUCCAAACCCGCAUUUUGCCAUCUCUACUCCUAGUCAACUUGGAUCAUUUUUCUUUAAGAUACUAUUUGAUCUUUGCGACAAGGAUCGAAACAAAGACGAGGACAAAGAUUAUUAAUUACCGAGAGUGAUUGUCUCAAUUUUUUAAUGACCGAGUGAUUGUCCAAUUUAUUCAAUCAUUAGAGAGACUUAUUGUCAAUCAAUAAGAUCAUUGACACAAAGAUUGAUUGUCUUUUUUUAUUUUCACUUUUUUUGAGAAUAUCAAUGCUUGAAUGUAUUAUUUGAUAUAUAAUUUAAUGUAAACCCAAUCACACUCUUAAGUUAUUUUUAUAAAUUCUCAAUAUAGGUCUCUGAUUCUAAUUCGAGCUUUGAUUCAAAUUAAUGCAAGGAUACAAAGGGACUCAAGAGCUUUAGUUCUCGUUUAUGUGCUAUUAUUUUAGCGUACACCAUAAAGUUAUUAGUUGAUUAUUAAUUGUUACACAUUUCAAAAAAGUCAAACAUCCUAUUGAAUUAUUAAUUCCAAAGCAUGUUAUUGAAGAAUCAGUACUGGAAAAAAAUUAUUUGAUAAUUUCAAACCCGAACUUACGCUUUAAUCCUUUAGAUUACCUCAAUUAACUUUUAUUUUAUUAGUUGACUAUCUCCAUCACCUGUUGGCAAAAAUAGAAUUGACGACAACUGGUAGAUAUGUUGCCUUAAUUUGAAAGUCAGUCAACAUGCAUUUUUCUGCGGAGAUAUUGCAGUAGAAGAAGACUAAGGUUAAAAAAGUUUAUAAGAGAAGAACAAACAUCCAACACCCGCUUCUCUCAUUCGUUUGUUUUGCUAAAGUAGUUGAAGUGAAAGCAUACUUUUCCCGAGCUGUUAUUAAUUAGAAAACGAGUAUCAACAUUAUCAUAAUUCUUCGUGACCUACACUUCCAGUCAAGAAAUAGUUUAUUAAUUUAUUUUAUUAGUAUAGGUUUUUAAAAAUUAAUUUAAGUCUUAGUUUAAAAAAUAUUCUAAUUAUUUUAUGUUUAUAAUUUAUUAAAUGAAUAAAUGAAAUUUGAAUAAUUUGUUUGAAUAUUUUCAUAUUUUGACAGCUUGAGUUUAUAAAUUUGUAUUAAUCGAUGCUAUAAUCUAAGGAAUUAAAUUUAUGCAUUAUUAUAUUAUAAUUAAUUAUUGUGAAAUUAAAUAUAUAAUUGUGAAAUUUUGAUAAAUCGAUAAUAAAAUAUCAAUUGUUCUCCGAAUAAAAAUUAUAAUUAUUAUUGUGGUUGUUGUUGUUGUUGUUGUUAUUAUUAUAAGUGCUUGACUUGAUGGACUUGAAAAAGUACGUUAGACACAUAGACUUAAACAAAACACGUUAGACAUGUGAAUUUAAAAAGAAAAAGUUAGCGGACUUUUUUUUAAGUACGGCUCACAGCACAACCCACUCACUUAGUGGGUCAUGCCGUGCCAACUCAUGGACCGCAAUAGGCCUUGGUUUAUGCCGGCACAGCCCAUUGGUGAUCUUUAAUCGAGAAGAUGAAAAAGAGGAAAGUAUAAACCAGUUGCAUUAAUUUCAUUUAAAAUAUUCAACUGCUAACAAAAUUCAACCACGUGAUGGAGAAAAUUGAAGAGUGGCGUCAUACCACCGACAAACAAACUUUAUACGUAUCAUUGAUCUGGACCUUUUAAAUUGAGAGCGUGACUUCUCUUUAAUAUAAUGACAAAUUCCAUCUACUACUAGAACCGUAGCGUUGUUAGAUAAAAAGUCAGUCAACUUUUGUUUUCCACGCAUCUAGAGCCCUUUUCCUCAAUGGUCGAACGCUGCAAUAGAUGGAAAACUUAUGUGUUUGUCAUUUGAGUGUGCGCAGCAUUAUUAUGAGUAAUUUACUGUACUUGUUUGAAAAUUUAGUUGAUUAUUGAGUCUUUUUCAUAUCAAACAUCCAAUCAUAUUAUUUUCAAAGCACAUUAUUACUUCCUUAUGAUUUCUUUAAAGUUGUUUUAUUAUAUUGAUUUUGAUUUUUCUUUUUUGGCCAUUUGACUAUAUUGUCCAUGUAAAAAAAGUCUUUUACGAUUUUAUUGACCUUAAAUCUUUUAGAAUUAAUUUUGUGGAUGGUAGGAACUAUAUUUACGGGAUUGGCCAUUUGACUCUUAUCAGUUGCUUGUAAUAAAUCCUUUACAAUUCAAUUGUCGAAAAUUUCCACCGCGUGAUGGAGAAAAUUGAAUUGUGGGAUCAUACUGUGGACUUGCAAUGCUUUAUACUUAUCAUUUAAAUCGAGAGCAUGACUUUGUUGACAUGCUUGAAUGACUUGGUUGAGUUCGUACCCUUAUAUUCGAGACGUUUGUUCAAAAGUCUCAUCAAAUUUUUAAAUCAAUUUGAAGAGACAACAAUUUAAUAGAUAAUAAAAUGAAAUAUAAUUUUUUUUCUUUGAAUUUAUGUAAAUUUAUGAGCAAUGCCUUGUUUGUCACAUAGCAUCUGUUCUGAAAAUAACAACAACAAUAAUAAUAAUAAUAAUAAUAAUAGUUGCAUUAGUGUUAUAAUUUGACUAGAUUAAUAAUUAAAUAAGGGCAUAUUUGGUUGAUGUAUUAUGACUCCUCAUUGCAUUAAAUUUAUACAAACCCAUGUUCGGUCCACAUAUUAUUCUACUUGCCCUUCUAGUGGGAAAUAUUAAUUUACCACACAGAGUUUUAAUGGACUUAUCAUUCAUAGGUUUUAGUAGUCACCGUGGUUUGGCACUUUAACUCAAUGAUUGAAUGUUGUAAUAUAUAUGUAUUUAUAUAUAAAAUUCGUCGUAUUUAAAUUGCACCUCUCUAUAUGUUGUGCAUCAUAAAAGAUGUCAUGUUAAUGUAAUCCACACUUUUAUGAGUAAAUUAAGAAAUAUAUAGGGAAAAUUAACUGAUUAAUUAUUGAUCAUCUAAUAAUAAAAACCAAUUUACCAAAAAUCUAUUAAAAUAAUUUUCAAAACUCAUUAAAUAUUUGAGAAUAUCAAGCAUCAAUGCUUGAAUAGAUUGUUAAGGCGAAGGCUUAACUCAAGUGGUAAGAGCAUUGCUUGCCUAAGGCCAAGGUCUUGAGAUCGAGUCUUGAGUUCGAGUCUCAUUAGAAGAGAAUGAGGUGAAAUCUAGUGAUCCUCUUUGAAAAAAAAAAAUGCUCGAAUAGAUUGUUUGAAAAUUCGGUGCAAACCCAAUCAUACAAUUCAACCCAAUUAUGCUCUCAAAUUAUAUAAAUUCUUAGUCAACUUUUAUUUUAUAGUAUUGACAAUCUCCAGUAAUUGAUAGUAGGGGUGGACAAAAUAUCCGACCCGAUCCAAUCCGAAAAAUAUUGGGUUUAGAUAAGAUCGGGUUGUUACUGAAACCCGAUCGGAUGAAUUCUUCUUAACCCGAUCUGAUCUGAAACCUGAUUGGAUUGCUUUAGAAUUAAAAAUAAAUAAAAAAUAAACCUAAACGGCAAACACUAACCUAACACACACACACCACACAACAGAUUACAUGGCACAUUAUACAAUACGCACACAACGCUCACAACCUCACACUCAUAGCUCAAGCCUCACAAAACUCAAAACACGUCGCCGACAGCCACAACCACAACCAUCUCCCUCCCACAAGAACACUCUUCACGCCCCUCAGGGUCACGGUUUCAUGCACACGGCACACAUGUAAGAGAGAUUGUAACAUUUUUCAAGUUUCUUUGGUUUGAUAUUCUGGACAAAAACGGUUUGCCAUUUCUUGAGAAAACGGCUAACCGUUUAAGUCCAGAGAGCAUGUUUUUUGUUCUGGAAUAAACGGCUCACCGUUUAUGGUGAAAACGGCUUACCGUUUAACUCCAGAGAGCAUGUUUUAUGUUCUAGAAUAAACGGCUCACCGUUUAUUGAGAAAACGGCUAACCGUUUAUUUCCAGAAAGUUGUCAAUUGGAAAAACGGUUAGCAAGAUUGAAAAGAUUUCAAUUGUAAAUCGAUGCAAAUUAAAACCAAAGAGUUUUUCCGAAGAAGUAUCAUUUCUAAUGGUUGUAUUCUUUCAAAUAAACAUCUUCUUCAUAAAAGAAAGACACACAAUUAGAUGAGCAAUCAGAUUUUGAAGAUUUCAUGCUUGUUCUGGAAAUACAAUCUUAUUUGCUAAAGAUUGUAUUCAGGAUUUGAUAUAUCUUGGGGGUAAUUUGCCAUUAAAACUCUAUAGCAAACCAAGAUUGGUGAGGGCAAAUAAAACCUUAAAGGAAAGUGUGCAAACACGUCUCAAAUCCUAAGAAAUUUCAUUGUUCUUUGCCUUCAUAUUCUACAAUUCUCUAACAACACACACGCGCACACGGCGCACACGCAUCUCAAGAAGUCAAGCAUUGUCUUCACGGAUCACAGUCAUAGUCACUGCUGAACAUUGUGCUGCUGCGUGUCCACGAGAUCUGUGCUCCAUGUUGCCGGAUAUGUCCAAGCUCCAAACAAUCUGGCAACUGCUGCAUGUGCAACUCGAUUCCAGUACCCGACCUGAGUUUCCCUUUCUGAACCUGAUCCUAUUUGAAUUCAAUUCGAUUUUUUUUAUCUAAUCAGAUUGGGUUAUAAAUUCGAGUUGCAUUUGAAUUAAUUUAUGUCCAACUCGAUCUGAAUCCGAUUUUGCCCACCCCUAAAUUAUUCAUUUGAUAGAAGAAAAGGAAUUGAUGGCCUUGUUUCUUGGCUUAAAUUGAAAGUCAGUCAACUUCAAUUUUCCCAUAGUUGUAAUAAUAUAUGAAAAAUAGGUUAGAGUCAGAUGUCGUUUAUGUGUCAUUAUAUCAGUGUCCACCACAAAUUUAUGAGUAAUUUAUUAAAAUGUCUAAACAUGUAUAAAAAAAUAGUUGAUUAUUGAUUUUCAAAAAUUUCAAUAUAUUAAAUAUCCUAUUGAAUUAUUAAUUCCAGAGCUCUCUUUUAAGUAUCAAUAGUGGAAUAAAUUAUUUGAUAAUUUCAAAUCCAAACUUACGCCUAAAUUCUUUAAAUUAUCUCAAUCAACUUUUAUUUUAUUAGUUGACUAUCUCCAUCAAUUGUUGUACAAAAUAAAAUUGACGGCGAUUUGUAUGUCGGCUUAAUUUGAAAGUCACUCAACAUUUAUUUUCCAUGGAGUAUUAACGAAGCGUUUUUCCUUAUUGGUCCAGGUCCUGCAAGUCUUUGCUAAUCAUUAUAGAGACCAAAACUAAUUAUCUUUAUAUGCACCAAUUGCUAUAAAGAUUAAUUUUGAAUUAAUAUUAAGAUCGAUUGUCCAGUAAUAAUAAGAUUGAUUGAAUCAAUCUUUAAAAAUCAAUCAAAUUUCCAAUUAUAAUAAUUGUGACAUUUUUUCAUAAAUUCGUAAUUUUUUGUAUAAAUUGAGUUUUUAUGCUCAUGAUCGGUGAAGUAAUAGAGCGAAAAAAUUGAUAUUGGUAGAAAAUAUUAAUUGAGCAUAUAUUGGGUUUCGAUGGACUAAUCAUUCACAGGUUUUGGUGGUCAUCAUGAUUGGCGCUUUAACACAAUGAUUGAAUGCUGCAAUAUAUAAGUAUAUAUAUAUAUAUAUAAAGUUGGGACUUGAGGAGGUGAUGUGGCAUCACUAUUUCUCAUCAUCUCAUAUUCUCUAUUAUCUAAUAAAUGGGUUGAAAUUAAAAAAUAAUUACAUUACAAAAUAUUAAAAUAGAAAAUAAUUAUUAGAUUAUAAAUGAUUACAUGUCUUUUCCUCUUUCUAUUUAAAACUCACUAAAUAUUUUAGAAUAUCAAUCCUUGAAUAGAUUAUUUGAUAAUUCAGUGCAAACCGAAUCAUAUUCAUACAAUUCAAUAAAAGCCUAAUCAUACUCUUAAAUUACAUAAACUUUUAGUCAACUUUUAUUUUAUAGUGUUGACCGUCUCCACUAAUGGUUAGCGGAUAAAGAAUUGAUGGCCACUUGUUUGCAGGCUUAAUUUGAAAAGUCAGUCAACUUUAAUUUCCCACGUGGUUGUAAUAAUAUAUGGAAAAUUAGAUAGGGUCAUUUAAAUUGAACUCGUACAGCUGUCCUAAGUUUAUAUGAAAUUUAUGUUUUUGUCAUUUCAAGUGAUUGUAAUAGGAGUCAAGCUGCAGAUUGAGAGCAAUGGAAACUUUCCUCGUUAAGGAUUCUCAAUAUCUUUGAUUUUAGUAGAGCUUUGAUUCAAAUGCAUGAAGACAAAGAGUCACAAGAGCUUCAAAUAACUUUGAUGUGUUUAGUCAUUUCGGAUUACGCCCCAAAUUUAUGAGUAAUUAAACUAAACAUGUAUGAAAAUUUAUGUUGAUUAAUUAUUGAUUUUCUAAUAAAUUAAUUUAAACUUAUCAAACAUCCAAUCAAAUUCUUCUCAAAACACAUUAUUUAAUCUAUUGACUGAUAAUGCAAUGGAAAUCCAAACAAACAGUUAAAUUAUUUAAAUUCUCUCAGUCAACUUUUAUUUUAUUAGUUAUGAUUAUCUCCAUCAAACUAUUGGAAAAAUUUAUAGUUUACAAUCACUUUAUCUAUAUUUUCCACGGGGUAUUAAUGAAGUGCUUUUUCCCGUUAGUCGAAUGUUGCAAAACAUGUAAUGCUUACAAGUCUUCAAAGUCUUCAGCCAAUCAAACUCUUCACUGCCAAUGAUCGUGCUAGGCCAUACGCAUGAUGUGCUUUUCUGCUAAAACUAGUUCAUAAAUGUGAUUUCAUUAAAAUUAGUUUAUGCGCAUCUUUCCCUUGGCUUUUGUUGUUUCCAAAUCCGGACUGUUAUUCAUAUCAUUACUUCACGUGGUUUCACCAAAAGGCUUGUGAUGAUUAAUGCAGUUUAUAAAUUAUUAUUAUUAUUAUUAUUAUUAUAACAUUGAUGAUAUAAUAAAUAUUUUUUUUUAAGUUGUAAAAGUGAGAAAUACUAAAGAGAUUUUUAUUACAUCAUUAAUGUUCGAUCAAGAAUUUCCUCCUCCGGGGUCGCAGUCUGUGGAGGAGAUUGUGUCAAUGUCGGAAUUCUCCGGACCGGCACCAUUUUGCCGCUUCUCCAUUGAAUAGUCCGUUUUACUGCAACAAGCCGAAAUACGGCCCAGUGUUCUGAUAGGACCCAAUGCGGUAAAGAUAAAACUCAAGUUUUUGUUAACUUUAGGCCUGCCUAGAUACCAUGCCCAAUUGUGUCUAGUUGUAACAAAAGCGGAGACAUUCAUGCCCAAAACCCCAAGAUUGUUUUAAUAUUUAAAAUUUAACAUGAUUCUAGAUUUUUUUUAAUAAAAAAUAAACAACCAUGAUUCUAGUUAAUAAAAAAAAUAUACAUAUGCACGUGUUGUGUAGACCAGACCAAUUCUCGUGGAAUUCUACAACAACCAUCAUGAUUCUUGAAUGGCCGCGAAAAUUCCACAAGCGAUUAACCCUCUCCCACGACUUACGCACCACUCAUCCUCUAUCACAAGGAUCAAAACAAAGACGAAGACGCAAACUAUUAAUCACCGAGCGUGAUUUUCCCAAUCUUUAUCAAUCACUACUAAGAUUUAUUGCCAAUCAAUAAUAUCAAUGACACAAAGAUUGACUGUUUUUUUUUAUACUCUUAAGUUAUUUAUAUAAAUUCUCAAUAUCGAUCUUUGAUUUUAAUUCGAGCUUUGAUCCAAAUUAAUGCAAGGAUAUAAAGAGACUCAAGAGCUUAAGAUAUCGUUUCUAUGUUAUUAACUUAUUAUUUCGGGGUACACCACAAAUUUAUGAGUAAUUUAUUAAAAUAUCUAAACAUGUAUAAAAAAUAGUUGAUUAUUGAUUUUCACAAAUUUCAAUAUAUCAAACAUCCUAUCGAGUUAUUAAUUCCAAAGCACAUUAUCUAAGAAUCAAUACUAGAAUAAAUUAUUUGAUAAUUUCAAACCCAAACUUACGCUUAAAUUCUUUAAAUUAUCUCAAUCAACUUUUUUUUUUCCUUAGUUGACCAUCUUUAUCAAUUGUUGGAAAAAAAAUAGAAUUGACGACUACCUAUAUAUUGGCCUAAUUUGAAAGUCAGUCAACAUUUAUUUUCCAUGUAAUGUUAAUGAAGUAUUUCCCUCAUUGGUCCAACAUUCCAACAUGUGGAAUUUCAGGCUUCCAAUUCUUCAUUAGUCAUUACAGAGACCAAAACUGAUUGUCUUAAGUGCCGGUCACUAUAAAAAUUGGUUGUCAAUCAAUAUCAAGAUUGACUGUCAUUUCAAUAUAUGCUACAAUUUUAUGAGUAAUUUACUAAAAUCUUUAAACAUGUAUGAAAAUUUUUUUAUUACUGAUUAUCACAAAUUUCAAUAUAUCAAACAUCCUAUCGAACUACUAAUUCCAAAGCAUGUUAUUUAAGAAUCGAUAAUGAAAUAAAUUAUUUGAAUAAAUUAAUUAUUGAUCAUCUAAUAAUAAAAACUCCACUAAUUAAACAUGUAUGAAAAUUAUUUGAUUACUAAUUAGGGGAAACCUUAGGUGCAAUUGUGGUACCGUGCCACAGUUGCAUCCAGCUGUUAGAUUCCAGUGGAACCCACUAAUUCAAAUGAAUCCAACGGUUAGAUGCAACUGUAGCACGGUGCCACAGUUGCACCGUAUUCUGAUCCUACUAAUUAUCACAAAUUUCAAUAUAUUAAACAUCCUAUCGAACUACUAAUUCCAAAGCAUGUUAUUUAAAAAUCGAUAAUGAAAUAAAUUAUUUGAAUAAAUUAAUUAUUGAUCAUCUAAUAAUAAAAACCAAUUUAUCAAAAAUUUAAUAAAUAAUUUUCAAAACCCAUUAAAUAUUUGAGAAUAUCAAAUAUCAAUGCUUGAAUAGAUUGUUUGAUAAUUCAAUCCAAAACCCAAUCAUAUAAUUCAAUAAAAAAAAAACAAUCAUAGAGGAAAAAGAGUUGAUGGCCACUUGUUUGUUGGCUUAAUUUGAAAGUCAGUCAACUUUAAUUUUCCACGUAGUUGUAAUAAUAUAUGGAAAAUUAGUUAGGGUCAUUUAAAUUGGACCCGUACAUCUGUUCCAAGUUCAUACGAAAUUUCUGCUUUUGUCAUUUCAGGUGAUUGUAACAGUAGUCUUAAAAAAGUCUUCAGCCAAUCAAAUUGCAAGACUUGCGAUAAACUUUUAGUAUAAAUUGCUCUGCAAUGGAAAGUUGCUCAUUGCACAUUUAAUUUUAACCAAAUGAAAAGUUGCUCUGCAAUGGAAAGUAGUUCCUGUAUUAAGUUCUCAUUAAUGUCACUAAUUUGGAUUAUUGUAUUGAUGAAUGAAAUGCAUGGAUACAAAGGAUGCUUAGAAACAGAGAGGACUGCUCUGUUGGAAAUCAAGAGCUUCUUCAUAUCAGUCAGUGAUAUUGGAUAUGAUGACAAAAUUCUUCCUUCAUGGGUUGGUGAGGAUGAUGGAAUGCCGUCUGAUUGUUGUGAUGAUUGGGUGGGAGUUAAGUGCAGCGCCACCACACGACGCGUGAUGCAACUCUCACUCAAUUAUACAACAAAAUUCAACUACUCUUAUAACUCUGUUUAUUGGGAGGGAGUUUUGGUUCUGAAUAUGUCAUUGUUUCAUCCUUUUGAAGAAUUGCAAAGGCUUGACUUACCUAUGAAUUGGUUUACAGGCAUCUAUGAGAAUAGAGGUCCGUAUAUAUGUAGACAUUUAUUUCUCGUCCAUAAAUAUUUUGUCAGUGACUAAUUAAUAAUAACACUUCAUAUGCAUUUGCAGCUUACGAUAGCUUUGGGAGUUUGAGGCAGCUGAAGAUGUUAAAUCUUGGUAAUAAUGACUUCAAUGACAACAUAUUACCAUAUUUGAAUACACUAACUUCACUUACCACUCUGAAUCUUCGUUACAAUUCCAUUGAAGGUUCUAGAACCAAGCAAGGUAUACAUAUACGUUUCAGGCCAACAGAUAUACAUGUCAGGCAACUUAAUUAAUUUCUUAAUUAAAAUAUAUAUUUAUAUUGUCUUGAUCAAAAUUUAUGUUUUCUGAGCAGGAUUAGCAAAUUUGAGAUACUUACAAGUGUUGGAUCUAAGCGCGAACCACAAUAUAACUAGUGGCUCUUUAACCAGGCUAGGUAGGCUACUGAGAUAAUUACCAAGUCAGCACACUAAUCACAAACUUCUACAAUAAUUUUAAAAGAAAUAGUUUGCUUUUCAUUGGUGUAGGAUUGGCAAAUUUGACAAACCUGAAAAAAUUGGAUCUUGGUAGUUGUGGAAUAACUACAAUUCAAGGUACACGGCAACAAUUCAAUGCCCAAAUUCCUUGUGAUAUUAUUAUGCCCUUAAUUUUUACAUAUGUAUAAUGUCAAAUUAAAACCAAUUUUUGACUGGAAAACUUGACUACAAUUGGUACACGGCAAAAAUUUACUUUCUGAAAACUUGACUACAAUUGGUACACGGCAAAAUUUUACUUUCUAAUUUCUUAGUAAAAUUUUAAAAAAAUAAAAAAUAAAAUCAUUUUUUAGUAUAUGAUCAAUUUAAUUAUAUCUUAAUCAUCAUAAGCUUUAUUACUACAAUUAUUUAAUCUAACUUUGAAAUUUGUUUCUUAAUCUUAAUUCUUUUUUUUUUCCAAAGAUGAUUAAUAAAAUUUUUCUUCUUUCUUGGUGCAGGAUUAGCUAAAUUAAAAAACUUGGAAGCGUUGGAUUUGAGUUCUAAUUAUUAUAUACACGGUUCUUUAGAAGGUAAUUUUUUUUAAUUAAACAAUUUGCACAGUUAAUUUUCAUUCAAUAUUUAUCAUAUUAUUUAAUUAAACAAUUUAGAUGAGAGUGACAUAGCUAUUAUUGACAAAAUUUAUGUUUUUUUAACAGGAUUAGCAAAUUUGACAAACCUGCAAGUGUUGGAUUUAAGCGAAAAUGAAAAAUUGACAACGCUAGGUAAGCCACAACGUCUAAGAUAAGAAGCAAAUUAAGAAUUAAUGUUUAUCAAGUGCACGGAUCACAUACAAUGCUUUUAAAUGUAAUAUUUUCAUUUUUUAUCGGUGCAUGUAGGAUUGGCAAAUUUGCCAAACUUGAAAACAUUGGAUCUUCGUUAUUGUGGAAUAACCACAAUUCAAGGUAUACAACAAUUCACUUCCUAUUAAAGUCGAAUUUAGAUAAAGUUUUCGACAACCUUACUUUUUAGUGUUUUUAAAAUAUUAUUGAUAAAUGUAUAUAACAACACAAAGAUUAUAAACUUUUUAAAAAAAAUUUACUGACUUAAUUCUUCUAUUCCUCUAUUUUUUUCCUAAAUAAAUAAAUAAAUUCUUCUAUGCCUCUAAUUUUUUCCAAAAUAAAUAAAGCAGGAUUAGCCAAUUAGUCAAAAUAGUGUAAGCUUAUCCGUAACAUGGCCAAGUAAUAUUUGAAUGCUGCAUCCUUGACAUCGUUUCUUCUUUCUUGGUGCAGGAUUGGCUAAAUUGAAAAGCUUGGAAGCAUUGUAUUUGAGUGGAAAUAAUAUAAACGGUUCUUUAGCGGGCCAAGGUAAAAUUUUUAAAUAAAUGUGGACAGUUAUUUUUCAUUGAAACGUGAUAAUUUCGAAUGCUUACAUUAAUGAUAUAUACCCCCAAUUUCUAGCGACUUGUUUGUCGGUCAAACUUGCUACUCGAAAGACAAAAUUAUGAAGACCGGUAUUUUUUUCCCCUUUAAUUAAUAAUACCUUUGAAAAGCGAGUUCUUUAUUUGUAUUGGUAAUAGUUACGAGAGGUAAUAUAAAUUUUCAAGAUAAAUGAAUUAAGUGUAUUUUAGACCAUUUAUUAUUUAUGAAAACAACUAAAAAAAUUAGAGAACCAAUACAAUGUUCAAUGAGCGCGUACCUAAUAUGUAGUAGGCAAUUAUGAUGAACAAGAAGUGCUGAACUCUUUUUUAGAUUAUUAAUUUGAAAUGACUUAGAAGUCAACAUCAAAAUAUACGAGAAUAAUACUAAUUAAUUUCUAGGUAUAAUUUAACAGGGAUUUGAUUUUUUUUCUUUUUUGAUAGAUUAUAGGGGUUCUGACUAAAUUAUCUACUUUUAGAAAAUUAGGAAGUCAUUCUUUCUCUCCUUUUUUUGAUAGAUUGUAGUGGCUCUCUAACAAAUUUAUGUUUUUUUAACAGGAUUAGCAAAUUUGACAAACCUGCAAGUGUUGGAUUUAAGCGGUAAUCAAAAUUUGAUAGCGCUAGGUAAGCCACUGAAUCUGAUAUUAGAAGCAAAUUAAGAAUUAAUGUUCAUCAAACGCGCAGAUCACAUACAAUACCUUUACAUGUAAUAUUUUCAUUUUUUAUCGGCGCAUGUAGGAUUCGCAGAUUUGCCAAACUUGAAAGCAUUGGAUCUUGGUUAUUGUGGGAUAACUACAAUUCAAGGUAUACAACAAUUCACUUCCUUCAAUGACAAAAAUUGUUUUAGAUGUUAAUCAAGAUGAUAAUGUAUUUCUAUUUUUUUAAUUGCUUUUUUCACAUUUUAAAGUUUACUCAAAGUGCAAACUAAUUUAAGAAUUAUGAUUCAGAUACUCCAAAUCUAAGUAAUGCUAAAAGGGACGGUAGAUAUUAAAAUAUCAAUAGAAACAAAAAAUAACUCUUCAUGUCAUAUUAGUUAUUCAUGAACAUCAUUGAGAAAAUUUAUGUCUCAUAAUACAGUGCUAAAAAAUCUCAUUGGUUUUGUAUGGAAGAAAUCCUUUUUUUUUUUCUUUUAAAUAGAAGAAACAGGUUUGAUAAUAAAAAUAAAUAAAAACUAAAGAAUGGGGUUUACACUAAUAAGUUUUAAUAAGGGUAUUUUUGUCAUUGAAGGUGGUGUUAAAACAAUUUUAUAAUAAUUUUAAAUAUUUUAAUGGGAUUAAUAAAGAAAAUGGGUGUUAAGAGGUAUUUAGAGGGGUGCCAAUAGUUCCACUCUUAUUUGAAAUGCUUUAGAAAUAAACACCAUAAUAUACGAGAAUCAUACAAAUUGAUUCCUAUGAAUAAUUUUACAGGGUUUUAGUGUUUUUUUUUUUUUGAUAAAUCAUACGGGUUUUGACUAAAUUCACUAAAAUUAGAAAAUCACAAAGUCAUUCUUUCUAUGAAUUUUGAACUUUUUAUUUUUUACUUUCAGGAUUAUGUGAGUUGAAGAAUCUUUUUGAGUUGAAUCUUAAAAGAAAUAAUGUUGAGGGUCAUCUUCCUAACUGUCUCAAAUACUUAUCCCACCUCAAGGUUCUUGAUAUUUCUUACAAUCAGUUAAGUGGGAGUUUGUCUUCUACUAUCACCAGCCUCACUUCACUUGAAUAUUUGGAUCUUUCCUACAACAACUUUGAAGGACCGUGCCCCCUCAGUUCAUUAGCUAAUCAUUCAAGCUUGAGGUCUUACUACUCUCAUCAACGAACAAUAUGUUACUAGUGAAAACUGAAAACUUUCUCCCUACAUUUCAAUUGAAAGUUCUUGGGUUAGCUAACUGCAGCUUAAAUGUCGUUCCUACUUUUCUUCUUCACCAAUAUGACUUAAAAUACCUUGAUCUCUCUCACAAUAAUUUGGUUGGUGAUUUCCCAUCUUGGGUGUUACAAAACAACACCAAGCUAGAGGUCUUGUUUUUGACAAACAACUCAUUCACAGGGAAUCUCCAACUGCCCAAUACCAAACACGAUUUUCUUCAUCAUUUAGAUGCUUCUAGCAAUAACUUUAUUGGUAAGCUUCCGCAAGAUAUGGGAACCGUCCUUCAGAAAUUGUGGUUUUUGAAUAUUUCCAACAAUAAUUUUGAAGGCAAUAUUCCUUCUUCAGUUGGUGAGAUGAAAGGACUCAAAUUUCUACACUUGUCAAAAAAUAAUUUUUCAGGAGAAUUAUCAGCAUCAUUUCUCACUGGUUGCAUCUUACUAUUCUUCUUAGACCUAUCUGAUAACAAUUUCUAUGGCCAAAUUUUUUCCAAAUACAUGAACUUGCAUUCGUUGGGGUUCUUAUAUUUGGAGAACAAUAAGUUUAGUGGGAAAAUUGAGGAGGGCCUAUUGAACUCCCCUUAUUUACAGGAGUUAGACAUAUCCCACAAUUUUUUGUCCGGUCAUAUUCCUCACUGGAUGGGUAAUUUCUCAAAUCUUGAGAUUCUUUUGAUGUCCAACAAUUGUUUGGAAGGUAAUAUACCUGUCCAACUCCUCAAUCAUAGAACGCUUGAACUUUUAAGUGUCUCCGAAAAUUAUUUGUCUGGGUCCAUGACAUCUUCCUUCAAUCUUUCUUCACUGAAGCACCUGUAUGCGAAAAAGAAUGCUCUAAGUGGGCCAAUUCCAGAUAUGUUGUUUAGAAGUUCCAAGUUAAUGACUCUAGAUUUGAGAGAUAAUGGAUUCUUUGGUAGAAUUCCCUGUCAGAUUAAUGAUCGCUCAAAUCUUCGUGUUCUUCUUUUGAGAGGGAACAAUCUAGAAGGACAAAUUCCGAAUCAGAUGUGUCAAUUAAAGAGCUUAGGUAUGAUGGAUCUGUCGCAUAACAGAUUCAAUGGAUCAAUACCUUCUUGCUUUACUAAUAUGUUGCAGUGGACUAUCGGAAAUGUUGAUUUGUUUGGAUAUGAACUUUCGGUUUUUCCUAGUUUAGGUUUUGGCACCAUUGGCACUUACUACAACUCUACUCUUGACUUGAGCAUGUCUGAAGGAGAUGUGUAUACAUCCCCUCAGCUAGUAAAAGUAGAAUUUAUGACAAAGAAUAGAUAUGAACUUUACAAUGGUAGCAAUCUUAACUAUAUGGUUGGGCUGGAUUUGUCAUGCAACGAAUUGACUGGAAACGUCCCAUCAGAAAUUGGAGAUCUUAAAAAAAUUCGUGGGUUGAAUUUGUCUCACAAUUGGUUGUCAGGAUCUAUACCAAGGAGUUUUUCCAAUUUGAAAAUGAUAGAGAGCCUAGACCUUUCCAACAACAGAUUGAGUGGACAAAUUCCUGCUCAACUGAUUGAGCUCAAUUUUUUGUCCAACUUCAAUGUGUCGUACAAUAACUUGUCCGGCCUAAUCCCAGACAAAGGCCAAUACUCCACAUUUGAUGAAAGCAGUUAUAGAGAUAACCUCUAUCUUUGUGGUCCAACAAUCAAUAAGAGUUGCAACAGUGCAGAGGAAAUACCGGCAUUAAAAUCCAAAGGAAGAGAAGACAAAGAUGAUUCUGCAAUUGACAUGGUGUCAUUAUAUUGGAGUUUCGGUGCAUCUUAUGUGACAGUGAUAUUGGGGUUGUUUGCAAUCCUAUGGAUAAAUUCAUUUUGGCGCAAACGAUGGUUCUAUUUCAUUGAUGCAUGUAUUGAUUUAUGCUACUAUUGCCUUUACAAAUAUGUACUCAAUCAGUGAUCAUGCUAUAGGCCAUAAGUACUAAUGUAUCAUUCAUCUUUAGCCGUGUUGAUGAAAAAAGUUGAUUUAGAUAAAUUAGACUCAAUUGUCUCUGUGCUAUUGAACUCAUCUUUCAAGUUCUUCACGGUAUUUUCAAAGCCAUCGAUUUGUUUGUCCAAAGACGAGCAUUCUCCCUACAGGAAAAAAGAAAUUAAUUAUAUAAUAAUAAAAAUUCAAACAUAUGUUAAUUACCAAUAUUAAGCUAAAGAGAUAUCACAAAUUUAUUAUCAUCAAAAGGAAGAAUGCCGCAGCCACUGGAUCCAUAAUUGACACUCGAUCUCACUUUUUUUAUUUAUUGUUCAUCCUUUAAACUUAAGCUCGGAGGAGGGUGUGGCAAUCCAAGUACUUGAGCUGUCAUCAACAAAAAAUUAAUCACUACUCAUUAAUGAUUAAUCAUAAUUAUAAUUAAAAAAAAAAAGAUCAAUGUUUCAUUGCAGGAAAAAUUUAACUACUAAUCAUGAAAUUACCAAUAAAGUCUGCCUCAGUUCAACCAUUGGUGAAUCGACCAAUGGCUCUUCCACCAUCAAAAUCAAUUCCAUACGGUGUGUAAUUCGCCCGGGAGACAUGCUUCAAAUGCUGCAGCAAAUCCUUCGGGCUUGUGUUAAAUGGUGGUACCUUGAUAAAUUCUCCAUUGGGUUCAGCCUUCGCUAUUAUUUCAUGCAAGACAAAUAUAAGGCAAUGCACAAGAAGAUAAUUUCCAAAACUUCCUCCAAUAAUUUUUCUUUCUGCUGGUUUUCUUUCACUUUGAUGGGAAUUGUGUCAUCACAUCAGGCACUUAUCUAGAAUUUCGUUUGCAAAUUCUGUUUGUUACCUUAUUGGAGACGAUGUACCAUUAAACUGCGACCACAACAAUAUUUGGCUAUCCCAAAGUUUGUUUUAAACAAACUUUUAAUACUAAACUUGUAAUUGUAAACAAAGAAAUACUAAACUUAUUAGCCGCUUUCAAGUCAUUAGAAAAUAAAUUUUCUUUCUAUUUAGAGACAGUUGUUAACAGUGAUACAUGGUUUCUGUCAAGAUCCAUUUAGGAAUAAAGUCGAGCAAAAUAAAUUCUUUUAGAGAUCACAGCAAACAGGCUUUAAAUCCCUUCUCUAAUUCCUGUCCAUUCAAGUUCUUUCCGAUGAACACAAUCUUGUUUACUCUUGGUUCGUCUGGGCCCCACAUCCGAUCAGGCGAGCCUUGGAAUAUGUCAUGAACACCCUGUCAGACAG
rnacentral:lncRNA from 1 species